rnacentral:rRNA from 1 species
UACGUAGGGGCCUAGCGUUGUCCGGAUUUAUUGGGCGUAAAGAGCUCGUAGGCGGUUUGGUGAGUCGGGUGUGAAAUCUCCACGCUCAACGUGGAGGAGCCACCCGAUACUGCCAUGACUAGAGUCCGGUAGGGGAGUGUGGAAUUCCCGGUGUAGCGGUGAAAUGCGCAGAUAUCGGGAGGAACACCAGUAGCGAAGGCGGGUCUCUGGGCCGAUACUGACGCUGAGACGCGAAAGCGUGGGGAGCGAACAGG